rnacentral:rRNA from 1 species
GACGGGGGGGGGCAAGUGUUCUUCGGAAUGACUGGGCGUAAAGGGCACGUAGGCGGUGAAUCGGGUUGAAAGUGAAAGUCGCCAAAAAGUGGCGGAAUGCUCUCGAAACCAAUUCACUUGAGUGAGACAGAGGAGAGUGGAAUUUCGUGUGUAGGGGUGAAAUCCGUAAAUAUACGAAGGAACGCCAAAAGCGAAGGCAGCUCUCUGGGUCCCUACCGACGCUGGGGGUGCGAAAGCGUGGGGAGCGAACAGG